rnacentral:rRNA from 1 species
UACGGGGGGGGGCGAGCGUUGUUCGGAAUUACUGGGCGUAAAGGGCGCGUAGGCGGUGUGUCAAGUCAGGCGUGAAAGCCCCCGGGCUCAACCUGGGAACCGCGCUUGAGACUGGCACGCUCGAGUUCGGGAGAGGAUGGUGGAAUUCCCAGUGUAGAGGUGAAAUUCGUAGAUAUUGGGAAGAACACCGAUGGCGAAGGCAGCCAUCUGGACCGACACUGACGCUGAGGCGCGAAAGCGUGGGGAGCAAACAGG